UGCCAGCAGCCGCGGUAAUACGGAGGGUGCAAGCGUUAUCCGGAAUUACUGGGUUUAAAGAGUGCGUAGGCGGCUUGGCAAGUUGGGUGUGAAAUCCCUCGGCUCAACCGAGGAAUUGCGCUCAAAACUGCCAAGCUUGAGGGAGAUAGAGGUGAGCGGAACUAAUGGUGGAGCGGUGAAAUGCGUUGAUAUCAUUAGGAACACCGGUGGCGAAAGCGGCUCACUGGGUCUCUUCUGACGCUGAGGCACGAAAGCUAGGGGAGCGAACGGGAUUAGAUA
rnacentral:rRNA from 1 species